rnacentral:rRNA from 1 species
AACUCCAGAAAGUCUGAAGAGACUGCAAGACUUGAGAUCGGGUGAGGUUAAACGUACUUUCAGGGUAGGGGUAAAAUCCUGUAAUCCCGGAAGGACGACCAGUGGCGAAAGCGUGUAUCUAGAACGAAUCUGACGGUAAGGAACGAAGGCUAGGGUAGCAAACCGGAUUAGAUACCCGGGAUAGUCCUAGACUGUAAACAUUGCCCAUUUGAUGUUGCUUUCCCGUUGAGGGAAGGCAGUGUCGGAGCGAAGGUGUUAAAUGGGCCGCUUGGGAAGUAUGGUCGCAAGACUGAAACUUAAAGGAAUUGGCGGGGGAGCACCGCAACGGGAGGAAUGUGCGGUUUAAUUGGAUUCAACGCCGGAAAACUCACCGGGAACGACCUGUGCAUGAGAGUCAACUUGACGAGCUUACUCGAUAGCAGGAGAGGUGGUGCAUGGCCGUCGUCAGCUCGUACCGUAGGGCGUUCACUUAAGUGUGAUAACGAGCGAGACCCACAUCUUUAAUUGCAAAUGUAUAUGGGAAUAUGCAUGCACUUUAGAGAAACCGCCAGCGCUAAGCUGGAGGAAGGAGUGGUCGACGGCAGGUCAGUACGCCCCGAAUUUCCCGGGCUACACGCGCAUUACAAAGAACGGGACAAUACGUUGCAACCUCGAAAGAGGGAGCCAAUCGCGAAACCCGUCCAUAGUUAGGAUUG